rnacentral:rRNA from 1 species
CCUACGGGAGGCAGCAGUGGGGAAUUUUGGACAAUGGGCGCAAGCCUGAUCCAGCCAUGCCGCGUGCAGGGUGAAGGCCUUCGGGUUGUAAACUGCUUUUGUACGGAACGAAAAGGUUUGACCUAAUAAGUUGAACUCAUGACGGUACCGUAAGAAUAAGCACCGGCUAACUACGUGCCAGCAGCCGCGGUAAUACGUAGGGUGCGAGCGUUAAUCGGAAUUACUGGGCGUAAAGCGUGCGCAGGCGGUUAUGUAAGACAGAUGUGAAAUCCCCGGGCUCAACCUGGGAACUGCAUUAGUGACUGCAUAGCUGGAGUACGGCAGAGGGGGAUGGAAUUCCGCGUGUAGCAGUGAGAUGCGUAGAUAUGCGGAGGAACACCGAUGGCGAAGGCAAUCCCCUGGGCCUGUACUGACGCUCAUGCACGAAGACGGUGGGGAGGACGAAACAAGGAGUUAGUAUACCUACGGUAGUACCGACCGACCCGUAAACCGAACUAGUACAACUAGGUUGGUUGGGUUCGUUCUACU